GGUCGCGUGGUGUAGUUGGUUAUCACGUCAGUCUAACACACUGAAGGUCUCCAGUUCGAACCUGGACGCGAUCA
rnacentral:tRNA from 14 species